UCCACAGAAACGGCUGGAACUAAAAUUAAAAUUUCGCGACGUAUGGAUUCUAAUUUUUGGGAUAAAAUAGAGUUUGUCAAAGGAAUAGGAGUUGGCUAGGGUUAAGAGGAUAGGGGAGAAUUGGAAUUGCAGAAGCGAUGAUUCUCCGGAAAAUUAGGGGAAGGAAAAUGAUAAAGAAAUGAAAUUUGGAGAAAGGAAAAGAAACAUAAAUGCAUAUACAUAUAUAUUACAUACAGAGAGCGAGAGAGAGAGAGGCAGUUUGUUUGGUCUGAGUUGGAGGUGUU
rnacentral:lncRNA from 1 species